rnacentral:rRNA from 1 species
AUUGAACGCUGGCGGAAUGCUUUACACAUGCAAGUCGAACGGCAGCACGGGGGCAACCCUGGUGGCGAGUGGCGAACGGGUGAGUAAUACAUCGGAACGUGCCCAGUCGUGGGGGAUAACGUAGCGAAAGCUACGCUAAUACCGCAUACGAUCUCUGGAUGAAAGCGGGGGACCGCAAGGCCUCGCGCGAUUGGAGCGGCCGAUGGCAGAUUGGGUAGUUGGUGGGGUAAAGGCCUACCAAGCCGACGAUCUGUAGCUGGUCUGAGAGGACGACCAGCCACCCUGGGACUGAGACACGGCCCAGACUCCUACGGGAGGCAGCAGUGGGGAAUUUUGGACAAUGGGCGCAAGCCUGAUCCAGCCAUUCCGCGUGCAGGAUGAAGGCCCUCGGGUUGUAAACUGCUUUUGUACGGAACGAAAAGGCGCGGGUUAAUACCCUGUGCCGAUGACGGUACCGUAAGAAUAAGCACCGGCUAACUACGUGCCAGCCGCCGCAGUAAGAC